AUGUUUGCAGACAUAGAUUUUAGAAAGCACCAACCUUCUGGUAAUGCAACCUCUACUAGUAUGGUGCCCCUGGAUGUUCCAAGUCAGGCACCUGAGAAGAUUAAUUCUCUGAAUCAAGUGAUUUCAGCAGAUGUACCAUGCGAGGCUCCCGUUGAUUUUGAUGCGAGAGAACUUUACUUUCUCAUUGCGCACUUCUUAUCACAUGGUCCAUUAAAGCGGACUGCUGGAGAACUUUGCAGUGAACUCCAGGAGCAUCAGCUGCUUCCUAGAAGAUAUCAUGCUUGGUAUUCGCGUGGUGGUUUCCAUAGUGGCGAAGAAAAUGAUGACGGUGUAUCACUCCCUUUGGAUUACCUCAAGUUAGUUGAGAGAUAUCCCCACAUUGGUAAAGACCACUUGGUAAAGCUUUUAAAGCAACUGAUGGUUAGUUCCUGCCACCCAGAGAGGUUGAUUGGAGCUGUGUCUCCAAAUGCUGCUGAUGUUCCAACCCUUCUUGGCUCCAACUCAUUUUCCCUUCUUGCAUCUAAUAGGGGGCGGCAAGAAAAGGAAAAUCGCAGGUUGCCGACGUAUCUCCGUUGGCCACAUAUACAGGCUGAUCAAGUUCAUGGUUUAAGUUUGAGAGAGAUUGGUGGCUUCACUAAGAAUCAUCGAGCUCCAUCUGUCCGUGCAUCAUGCUAUGCCAUUGCGAAGCCAUCUACCCUUGUUGAAAAGAUGCAAAUUAUAAAGAAAUUGAGGGGACAUCAAAACGCUGUGUAUUGUGCUACUUUUGAUCGCACAGGGCGUUUUGUUAUUACUGGUUCUGAUGAUCGCCUUGUUAAAAUUUGGGCAAUGGAAACUGCAUUUUGUUUGGCUAGCUGCCGAGGUCAUGAAGGUGAUAUUACUGACCUCGCGGUGAGUUCCAAUAAUGCUGUGGUAGCAUCUUCAGCCAAUGAUUUCGUUAUUAGAGUGUGGCGUAUACCUGAUGGCAUGCCGAUCUCAGUGUUGAAGGGGCAUACAGGGGUUGUAACUGCUAUUGCAUUUAGCCCAAGGCCAGAUCAUCAGAUGACGGGACAUGCAGGAUUUGGGAUGCCCGAUAUUCUCAACAACCUCCACGAAUAUAUACACCAAAACCUCCAGAUGCUGCCCCUGAGUGGUGAUGCAUCUUCCAGUGCUGUUCAAGUUCAACCAAUAAAUCACCAAAUCUUGUGUUGUGCAUUUAAUGCCAAUGGAACUGUGUUUGUUACUGGCAGCUCAGACACUUUUGCAAGGGUGUGGAAUGCUUGCAAGAGUAGUUCUGAGGAAAAUGACCAGCCGAAUCAUGAGAUGGAUGUAUUAUCGGGCCAUGAAAAUGAUGUAAACUAUGUGCAGUUUAGUGGGUGUGUGGUAUCUAGAUCCUUUUCAUCUGAAGGCAGUCACACCACUAAGGAAGAAAAUAAUCUUAAACUAAGAAAUUCAUGGUUCACGCAUAAUAUUGUUACUUGCUCCCGUGAUGGCAGUGCAAUUAUAUGGGUUCCACGAUCUCGGAGAUCGCAUGGAAAGAUUGGACGCUGGACACGUGCUUACCAUCUCAAGGUUCCUCCACCUCCAAUGGCUCCUCAACUAAUUCGUGGUGGUCCACGACAAAGACAUCAGCCAACUCCUCGUGGUGUCAACAUGAUUGUCUGGAGUUUGGAUAACCGAUUUGUGCUUGCUGCUAUCAUGGACUGCAGAAUUUGUGUUUGGAAUGCUUCUGAUGGGAGCUUAGUACAUUCACUGAUUGGCCACAAGGAAUCUACAUUUGUUCUUGAUGUGCAUCCAUUCAACCCUCGUAUAGCAAUGAGUGCUGGGUAUGAUGGAAUGACAAUCAUCUGGGAUAUAUGGGAAGGAAAACCUGUACAGAUCUAUGAAACCGGUCAUUUUAAGCUAGUUGAUGGCAAGUUCUCUCCGGAUGGAACAUCACUUAUCCUCACCGAUGAGAUUGGCCAAAUAUUCUUUAUUGGUACAGGGCAGGGUGAGUCCCAGAAGGAUGCGAAAUAUGAUCAGUUCUUUCUUGGAGACUAUCGACCCCUUACUCAAGAUACAAAUGGAAAUGUAAUUGAUCAGGAAACACAGCUCCCACCUUACAGGAGAAAUAUUCAAGACCUUUUGUGUGACUCGGGUAUGAUGCCAUACCCAGAGCCUUUUCAGAGCAUGUACCAGAAACGGCGAUUAGGUACCAUGGGUAUUGAGUGGCGGCCUCCCUCUGUAGAUUUUGCUGUUGGCCCCACGUACAAUGCAACCACUGGUGAAUACCAGAUCAUCCCAGUUAUUGAUCCAGAUAGGUGGGAGCCACUUCCAGAGAUACCGGACUUCUUUGAGCUUGAACCUGAAAUUGAAGUUAUAUCUGAUGAUACUGAUUCCGAGUACAACGGCAUGGAUGACAAGUCUAGUGAAGGAGAACAGGAGAAUUUGAGUGGUGAUUCCUCUGGUGCUUCAUACUCAAGUGCAGAGAUUGAUGGGAAUAGCCUUAGCGAUAGUGCUAAUCUUCGCAGAUCUAGAAGAAAGAAGAAAAAAUCAAAGGCUGAUCUUGUGACUUCAUCUGGUCGGCGAGUUAAGAAGAGGAAUUUGGAUGAGCAUGAUGCUGCUACUGUGUCAAGGCCACACAGAGCUAGGAAGUCUAAGAAUGGUCGCUCUAGUAAAAGGAAAAGAUCACCUAAAUCUAGGGGAUUGCGACCUCAAAGACGCGCUGCUCGCCAUGCACUCAGUUUUUUAACAAAGAUGGGAGCUUCAACAGAUGAGGAUGAAGAGGACUCAGAGAGUCUCUCAGACAGUGAAUUGAACACGGAAAGCAUUGAAGCUGAGCCGUCAGCAUGGUAUAGCCGGCCAAGACUUGGUAGAGAGAGUAACCAAUAUGAUUCAGAAGAUGUUACACAACCUUCUCAUUUCACUGAAACUCGGGGGAGUUCUGGAAAUACCAGAAAACUGGUCCUGAGGAUACCACGCCGUGAUUUAAAAGUUGAAUUUCCAUCAGCUGUAUCAGUCAUGGGGGGCAGACAUGGAUCAGUUGAGCCGGAACUAGCUUUUGAGCCUGGAAGUUCCUCUGUUUGCAAGGCUGAACCACCAGCAGAUGGAGGUCAAAGCACGACCUUUGGUCUACAUGAUGUUUCUUCUGUUUAUAGUAACAGCACAAUCAAGUGGGGUGAGGUUAAGCAGCGAUCUUCAAAGCGUUGCAAGUUUGGUGACUCUUCCGCUGGAGACAUGUGGCCCUCUUCAAAUAAUGCAGUUUCACAGGAUGGUGGCAAGUCUGGUGUUCAGAAGACACCUCAUGAAUAUGGUAACGCCAUGCAACAAACGGUUGAGCAGACUGUACAAAAGAGUGAACGUGCAAUUUGUCUGGAUAGCAUCCAUGAAAAUCACGAUACUGAUGUUUAUAGUGAAGAUAAUUUACUUGGUGAAGAAAGGACAACUAAUAACAUUAAUACUCAUGUAGAGGAAGUAAACAACAAAGAAUGCAACCAACAGUCCCACAGUACUUCUCAGUCUACUAUUAAACUGAAGUUAGUCAGGUCAAGAGGCAUUCCAGAUGCAAAAGGUUCACCGGACAAAUCAAAGACUACUGCAGUAGGGAGUGACGUGAACUCUGAGUGUGAUAAAGUUCCCAUGCAGCAUGAUGAGGAUCCUACCACCAAUCAACAUAUAAGCAGUGACUUCCCUAGUGCGUCUAGAGAUUUCCAGGAAUGCACAGAUGGAAGCACUGGUUUUCAUGAUUCAAGGAAGUUCCAUUCUGAAUCUGGAAAGACGAUUGCUGUGUACCAAAGGUCAAAGUUAAGUAAGCACAAGAAAAAAUUGGAUUCAGAUUCUGGCAACGGAGAUAGUACCUCCGUCUCCAAUGAUGAUGGUGGGUAUCAACCUUCAGAGUACAGUCCUGUUGCACCUGGUACUGGUAAUUUGCGAAGAAGCACAAGGAGGUCAUGUGCAUACACUGAUGGUGGAGCAAGGAAUGCUAUCUCUCAUGUGAAAAAUUCUUCCCAUGAAGCAUCAACUAGUGGGAGACAAAUUGGUGCAGACGUGCAUGAGUGGGGUUCACCAUCAAAGACUGCUGGUUUAAGGUCUACUAGGAGCAGAGUUCCUGAUACACAUUCAUUGGCAGAAAAGCCUCAAGUAUCCUCGAAUUGUUGGUUGAUGUUGUUGGAGCAUGAAGAUAUUUACCGUUAUAUUCCUCAACAUGGCGAUGAGGUUAUGUACUUGCGACAGGGCCAUGAAGAAUAUCUCAAUGGAAUGCGAUUAUCGGAUAGUUGCCCAUGGAAUCGGAUCAAAGGCCUUAAAGCUGUAGAGCUUUGCAAAAUUCAGGAUCUUUGCUAUACAACUUAUAAAGGGUCUGGUGAAAGCUGCUGUAAAUUAACACUUAAAUUCAUUGACGACACUUCAAGCGGAUUUAACAGAGAAUUUGUAAUCACAUUGCCUGAGCUGGUUGGAUUCCCCGAUUUUCUGGUGGAAAGAACACGGUUUGAAGCUGCUGUUGCCCAGAACUGGACUAUCAGAGAUAAGUGCAGAAUUUGGUGGGCGAAUGAUGAGGGGGGAGGAAGUUGGUGGGAAGGACGUGUGUUGGCAAUAAGGCCUAAGUCACCUGAUUUUCCUGAGAGUCCAUGGGAUAAAUAUGCCAUACAAUACAAGAAUGAUGGUUCAGAUCAUCUGCAUAGCCCCUGGGAGCUCCAUGAUGCUGAUAGCCCAUUGGUUCCAUGGAAACAUCCACAUAUUGAUUCCAGUAUUAGGAAUAAAUUGUUAUCAGCAGUGACCAAUUUACAGAACAAGUCUCGCAGAAACCAGGAUUACUAUGGUGUCCUGAAGUUGGAUACUGUUGCAGGAAAAUCAGAGUUCAUAAACAGGUUUCCUGUCCAGUUUUCCAUGGAGGUGAUCAGGACAAGACUGCAAAAUGGUUACUACAGAACCGUGGAGGCUGUCCAACAUGAUGCCUCUGUGAUGCUUGCCAAUGCCGAGUCUUACUUCUCAAAGAGCGCGGACAUGACCAAGAAGCUUCUCAGGCUAUCCGAGUGGGUCGAAGAUAACAUCCUAUCACUUUAG
rnacentral:rRNA from 1 species